rnacentral:rRNA from 1 species
GGGUCAGUAGGUUGGUCGUGCCACCGGUACGUACUGGUCUCACUGAUUCCUCCUUCCUGAAGAACCGUAAUGCCAUUGAUCUGGUGUUGCGGGGAAACAGGACUGUUACUUUGAAAAAAUUAGAGUGUUUAAAGCAAGCUAACGCUUGAAUACAUUAGCAUGGAAUAAUGAAAUAGGACGAUCGAUCCUAUUUUGUUGGUUUCUAGGAUUGACGUA